rnacentral:rRNA from 1 species
UACGGAAUGUGCAAACGUUAUUCGGAAUCACUGGGCUUAAAGAGUCCGUAGGCGGCAUGUUAGGUGAGGUGUGAAAUCCCCCGGCUCAACCGAGGAAUUGCGCUUCAAACCGGCGUGCUUGGGGAAGAUAGAGGUGGGCGGAACUGAUGGUGGAGCGGUGAAAUGCGUUGAUAUCAUCAGGAACACCGGAGGCGAAGGCGGCCCACUGGGUCUUUUCUGACGCUGAGGGACGAAAGCUAGGGGAGCGAACGGG